ensembl:lncRNA
CUCCUCUUUCCUUCUGGCUAUGUGACGACAAUCAGCUUAUUCACAAGUGCCCCUUUAUUCUGGCUUGCAGGACGACUGUCCAGAGUCCUCUCCUUUCCUGGACGUAACAGAUACAAGUGGUAAGUAUUGAGAGUUUGGAUGCACAAUGGAUACCUGCUGCUACUCGUGGCAAACUCCGAGGCGGCCCAGCGGGUUGUACUCCCGGUCGUCCAGAUGCUGGUGGAACUGCACAAGGGCUGCCGGGAUCCAACUAAAACCGUACUGGUAAGUGUACAGGAGGGGGUUUCCGCGGUUUCUGUAUCCUGAGUGACGGGUCGACAUGCAGGUAGACGCUUCAAAGGGACACGCUAGAUCUGCACAAGAGCAUACAGGUAAGUGUAACAGGACUGGACACGGACAGUGGACAGAGGGGCCGCUGGCUCUUCACUCGGGGGCACAAGUAAGUCCGUAGGAAAGACAACUGGGGCUUCACUUGAGCAUACAGGCGAGUGUACAACACAAUAUGCUGGCUUUAGCUUUGGGCAUAAGGUAAGUACAUCCAAUAUAACUGGGACUUCACUCUGGGCAGACAGGCGAGCGAGUGUACAACACAAUAUGCUGGCUUUAGCUUUGGGCAUAAGGUAAGUACAUCAAAUGUAACCGGGACUUCACUCUGGGCAGACAGGCGAGUGUACAACACAAUAUGCUGGCUUUAGCUUUGGGCAUACGCUUACGGUGAAUAUACAGGGAAACAGGAAGUGAUGUAACUCACAGACCUUCGAGGGAAUAGACGUCAGACGUUCCUUUUCUGAGGCUUCUACCAACUGCUGAUAGAGAGGCGGAUCGAAAACUACUGUUGCGUUGGGCCGAACACGGCCUCCGCUGGCGUCACACACAGGUAAGUUGUUUCACCCGGGGUGUACUACACUGGAUGGGUCGAACGCUUCCCUCUUCUUUCUACCAACCGACAAGGCAAGAGAUAUAGACAGGGGCGAACCUUUGAAGAACUCCACAGCAGGUAAUAAUACACGCACAGCUGAUUUCCUCCUACAGCAGCCAACUCCUCACCAUUAAUACUUCCCAAUAGAUCCACACUGUUCUUACUUGAAAUUGUUUCCCACCACCGUCACGUGGGGAAGAAGGGUCAGGAUGUCAUCGACGGCAUAUAAUUGGAGAUGUUUUCUUCGCCCCCCUCGGUACUCACUUCCUUCACAGGAUUUUGUCGGGCCUGAAAGGUGGUUGUUGACAACACAACACAGCACAACACUGCAAUUUUCAAGUGUAUACACUCACAGCAAAGGACAAAGACUCCACGAGACACUCCACACACUCUUGGUGAAUUUAGGGUCAAAACCCCGUCUGACCAAAGACUCGUCCUGGAAAUCGUGGAGACACUGAUGCCACGAAUAUUCAGAUUUAAACGUCGCCGCCACGACACCCCAACGUCCUCUCUCGCUCACUGGUCCCGGCUCACCCACA